ACACGACUACAUUAGAUACCCCGGUAGUCCUAGCCGUAAACGAUACUCGCUAGGUGUCGGCCACGGUGCGACCGUUGUCGGUGCCGUAGGGAAGCCGUGAAGCGAGCCACCUGGGAAGUACGGCCGCAAGGCUGAAACUUAAAGGAAUUGGCGGGGAGCACCACAACGGGCGGAGCUUGCGGUUUAAUUGGAUUCAACGCCGGAAAUCUUACCGGGACCGACAGCAACAUGAAGGCCAGGCUGAAGACUUUGCCGGAUUAGCUG
rnacentral:rRNA from 1 species